UGGGGAAUAUUGCACAAUGGGCGAAAGCCUGAUGCAGCAACGCCGCGUGAGUGAUGAAGGCCUUCGGAUUGUAAAGCUCUGUCUUUUGGGACGAUAAUGACGGUACCAAAGGAGGAAGCCACGGCUAACUACGUGCCAGCAGCCGCGGUAAUACGUAGGUGGCGAGCGUUGUCCGGAUUUACUGGGCGUAAAGGGUGCGUAGGCGGAUGCUUAAGUGAGAUGUGAAAUACCCGGGCUUAACUUGGGUGCUGCAUUUCAAACUGGAUAUCUAGAGUGCAGGAGAGGAGAAUGGAAUUCCUAGUGUAGCGGUGAAAUGCGUAGAGAUUAGGAAGAACACCAGUGGCGAAGGCGAUUCUCUGGACUGUAACUGACGCUGAGGCACGAAAGCGUGGGUAGCAAACAGGAUUAGAUACCCUGGUAG
rnacentral:rRNA from 1 species